rnacentral:rRNA from 1 species
CCUACGGGUGACAGCAGUGAGGAAUAUUGGUCAAUGGGCGCGAGCCUGAACCAGCCAAGUAGCGUGAAGGAUGACUGCUCUACGGGUUGUAAACUUCUUUUAUAAAGGAAUAAAGUGAGGCACGUGUGCCUUUCUGUAUGUACUUUAUGAUUAAGGAUCGGCUAACUCCGUGUCAGGAGCCGCGGUAACACGGAGGGUCCGAGCGUUAUCCGGAUUUAUUGGGUUUAAAGGGAGCGUAGAUGGGUUGUUAAGUCAGUUAUGAAAGUUUGCGGCUCAACCGUAAAAUUGCAAUUGAUACUGGCAGUCUUGAGUGCAGGUGAGGUAGGCGGAAUUCGUGGUGUAGCGGUGAAAUGCUUAGAUAUCACGAAGAACUCCGAUUGCGAAGGCAGCUUACUAAACUGCCACUGACAUUGAUGCUCGAAAGUGUGGGUAUCAAACAGGAUUAGAUACCCCAGUAGUC